rnacentral:rRNA from 1 species
UACGUAGGGUGCAAGCGUUAAUCGGAAUUACUGGGCGUAAAGCGCACGUAGGCGGAAUGUUAAGUCAGGGGUGAAAUCCCGGGGCUCAACCCCGGAACUGCCUUUGAUACUGGCAUUCUCGAGUCCGGAAGAGGUGAGUGGAAUUCCGAGUGUAGAGGUGAAAUUCGUAGAUAUUCGGAGGAACACCAGUGGCGAAGGCGGCUCACUGGUCCGGUACUGACGCUGAGGUGCGAAAGCGUGGGGAGCAAACAGG